rnacentral:rRNA from 1 species
GCAAGUUCGAGCGGUAGCACAGAGAGCUUGCUCUCGGGUGACGAGCGGCGGACGGGUGAGUAAUGUCUGGGAAACUGCCUGAUGGAGGGGGAUAACUACUGGAAACGGUAGCUAAUACCGCAUAACGUCGCAAGACCAAAGUGGGGGACCUUCGGGCCUCAUGCCAUCAGAUGUGCCCAGAUGGGAUUAGCUAGUAGGUGGGGUAACGGCUCACCUAGGCGACGAUCCCUAGCUGGUCUGAGAGGAUGACCAGCCACACUGGAACUGAGACACGGUCCAGACUCCUACGGGAGGCAGCAGUGGGGAAUAUUGCACAAUGGGCGCAAGCCUGAUGCAGCCAUGCCGCGUGUGUGAAGAAGGCCUUCGGGUUGUAAAGCACUUUCAGCGGGGAGGAAGGCGGUGAGGUUAAUAACCUUGUCGAUUGACGUUACCCGCAGAAGAAGCACCGGCUAACUCCGUGCCAGCAGCCGCGGUAAUACGGAGGGUGCAAGCGUUAAUCGGAAUUACUGGGCGUAAAGCGCACGCAGGCGGUCUGUCAAGUCGGAUGUGAAAUCCCCGGGCUCAACCUGGGAACUGCAUUCGAAACUGGCAGGCUAGAGUCUUGUAGAGGGGGGUAGAAUUCCAGGUGUAGCGGUGAAAUGCGUAGAGAUCUGGAGGAAUACCGGUGGCGAAGGCGGCCCCCUGGACAAAGACUGACGCUCAGGUGCGAAAGCGUGGGGAGCACACAGGAUUAGAUACCCUGGUAGUCCACGCCGUAGACGAUGUCGAUUUGGAGGUUGUGCCCUUGAGGCGUGGCUUCCGGAGCUAACGCGUUAAAUCGACCGCCUGGCGAGUACGGCCGCAAGGUUAAAACUCAGAUGAAUUGACGGGCGCCCGCACAAGCGGUGGAGCAUGUGGUUAGUUCGAUGCAACGCGGAGAACCUUACCUGGUCUUGA